UAAACAGCAAGUUUGCAUUUUUUGUCACUUCAACUACCCAAUAAUUUUUUUAUAAAGGGUGAUCAAAAAGUCGCACACACUUAAGAUUGGUAUCACUGAAAAGAACAGAUCGUCCCGCAAAAAAGGAGUCCUCACACAGCCCAGUACACAUAAAUACCAAAAAAGUUAUAGAGGUCAGAAAAUGGUGAUAAUUAUUAUUUUUUCCCUCAAAGGUUUAAAAAAAAAUUCAGUAUUAAAUGCAAGAAAAAUUAUACAACUGUG